rnacentral:rRNA from 1 species
UACGUAGGUGGCAAGCGUUGUCCGGAUUUACUGGGCGUAAAGAGCGCGCAGGCGGCCUCGCGCGCCCGACGUGAAAGCCCCCGGCUUAACCGGGGAGGGUCGUUGGGGACGGCGGGGCUUGAGGGCGGGAGAGGUCGGUGGAAUUCCCGGUGUAGUGGUGAAAUGCGUAGAGAUCGGGAGGAACACCUGUGGCGAAGGCGGCCGACUGGGCCGACCCUGACGCUGAGGCGCGAAGGCGUGGGGAGCGAACGGG